CAGUCGCCGCGGUAAUACGAGGGGGGCAAGCGUUGUUCGGAAUUAUUGGGCGUAAAGGGUGCGUAGGCGGUUUGAUAAGUCACAUGUGAAAUCUUCGGGCUCAACCCGAAGUCUGCAUGCGAAACUGUCGGGCUUGAGUAUUGGAGAGGUGAGUGGAAUUUCCGGUGUAGCGGUGAAAUGCGUAGAUAUCGGAAGGAACACCUGUGGCGAAAGCGGCUCACUGGACAAUAACUGACGCUGAUGCACGAAAGCUAGGGGAGCAAACAGGAUUAGAUACCCCGGUAGUCCCUGUCUCUUAUAC
rnacentral:rRNA from 1 species